rnacentral:rRNA from 1 species
AGCAGCCGCGGUAAUUCCAGCUCCAAUAGCGUAUAUUAAAGUUGCUGCAGUUAAAAAGCUCGUAGUUGAAUUUCGGGACCAUCAUGUCGGUCGUGCCUAGGUACGUACUGGCAUUGUUGGUUUCUACCUUCUGACGAACCAUGAUGUCAUUUAUUUGGUGUCGUGGGAAAUCAGGACUGUUACUUUGAAAAAAUUAGAGUGUUUAAAGCAGGCUCACGCUUGAAUACAUUAGCAUGGAAUAAUGAAAUAGGACGUUUGAUUCUAUUUUGUUGGUUUCUAGGAUCGACGUAAUGAUUAAUAGGGAUAGUUGGGGGCAUUAGUAUUCAAUUGUCAGAGGUGAAAUUCUUGGAUUUAUUGAAGACUAACUACUGCGAAAGCAUUUGCCAAGGAUGUUUUCAUUAAUCAAGAACGAAAGUUAGGGGAUCGAAGACGAUCAGAUACCGUCGUAGUCUUAACCAUAAACUAUGCCGACUAGGGAUCGGAUGAUUGUAAUUUUUUAAUGACUCA